GGGCCCGCACAAGCGGUGGAGCAUGUGGUUUAAUUCGAUGAUACGCGAGGAACCUUACCAGGGCUUAAAUGUAGUCUGACAGGGGUGGAAACACCCCCUCCUUCGGGCAGAUUACAAGGUGCUGCAUGGUUGUCGUCAGCUCGUGCCGUGAGGUGUCAGGUUAAGUCCUAUAACGAGCGCACCAUCCCUGUCUAGUUGCCAGCAUGUAAUGAUGGGAACUCUAACGGGACUGCCGGUGCAAACCGCGAGGAAGGUGGGGAUGACGUCAAAUCAUCACGGCCCUUACGUCCUGGCUACACACGUGCUACAAUGGCCGGUACAGAGGGCAGCCACACCGCAAGGUGGAGCGAA
rnacentral:rRNA from 1 species